rnacentral:tRNA from 1 species
AGCAGAGUGGCGCAGUGAAAGCGCUCUGGGCUUAUAACACAGAGGUCCAUGGAUCGAAACCACGCUCUGCUA